rnacentral:rRNA from 1 species
GAUGAACGCUGGCGGCGUGCUUAACACAUGCAAGUCGAACGGUGAACACGGAGCUUGCUCUGUGGGAUCAGUGGCGAACGGGUGAGUAACACGUGAGCAACCUGCCCCUGACUCUGGGAUAAGCGCUGGAAACGGCGUCUAAUACUGGAUAUGUGACGUGACCGCAUGGUCUGCGUUUGGAAAGAUUUUUCGGUUGGGGAUGGGCUCGCGGCCUAUCAGCUUGUUGGUGAGGUAAUGGCUCACCAAGGCGUCGACGGGUAGCCGGCCUGGGAGGGUGACCGGCCACACUGGGACUGAGACACGGCCCAGACUGCUACGGGGGGCAGCAGUGGGGAAUAUUGCACAAUGGGCUCACGCCUGAUGCAGCAACCCCGCGUGAGGGAUGACGGCCUUCGGGUUGUAAACCUCUUUUAGCAGGGAAGAAGCGAAAGUGACGGUACCUGCAGAAAAAGCGCCGGCUCACUACGUG